rnacentral:rRNA from 1 species
GGGUUGUGAGGUUAAGCGACUAAGCGUACACGGUGGAUGCCCUGGCAGUCAGAGGCGAUGAAGGGCGUGCUAAUCUGCGAUAAGCGCCGGUAAGGUGAUAUGAACCGUUAUAACCGGCGAUACCCGAAUGGGGAAACCCAGUGUGAUUCGUCACACUAUCAUUAACUGAAUCCAUAGGUUAAUGAGGCGAACCGGGGGAACUGAAACAUCUAAGUACCCCGAGGAAAAGAAAUCAACCGAGAUUCCCCCAGUAGCGGCGAGCGAACGGGGAGGAGCCCAGAGCCUGAAUCAGCAUGUGUGUUAGUGGAAGCGUCUGGAAAGGUGCGCGAUACAGGGUGACAGCCCCGUACACAAAAGCGCAUGUGCUGUGAGCUCGAUGAGUAGGGCGGGACACGUGGUAUCCUGUCUGAAUAUGGGGGGACCAUCCUCCAAGGCUAAAUACUCCUGACUGACCGAUAGUGAACCAGUACCGUGAGGGAAAGGCGAAAAGAACCCCGGCGAGGGGAGUGAAAAAGAACCUGAAACCGUGUACGUACAAGCAGUGGGAGCCCCACCACCAAAGCAUUCUCUGGUGUUGAAGGCCCUGCAAAGCAGCAUCGCGGUGGCGGAGCGUCGUUUGCGACGCCCAACACACAAAACAAGCGGUGAAUGCUUUGGGGUGGGGUGACUGCGUACCU